rnacentral:lncRNA from 1 species
CCGCCGCCGCCGCCGCUGUCGCAGCAGGCCGGGCCAGGCCGCGCCUCAGGGAGGCGGGGAGAGCAGGGCCGGCCCGGCGGGUCGGCAGGGUGCCUGCCCUCAGCUUCCUUCCUCUUCCCCUUCCCCUUCUCUUUCCUUCCUUAAAACUCGAGCUGGGCUGGUUUUCAUCGCCGCAGGUCCCGAGGAGCAACCCGCGUCGCCAGCUCGCAGCAGGGCCUGUGCCCGAAGUGGUGUCGGGGGGAAUGUUUUGGGGUUGGGGUUGGGGUUGUCCCUCUCCUUGGGGCUUAUUCAGAGCAGGAAUGCAAGCCUCGUCCUCCUCCCACGGGUUUAAAACCUAAAAAACCUCCGUGGCAGGAAGAGGGAAAUAAAACCCCACACGCUUUUAGUCCGUGUCACUGCAGGGGUAUCUGAGCAACCCGUAACGUGUGCGCUGACACGGUUUCACGUGAGGUAGGAAAACACUGUUGUUUGCAUUUUUAUAAGUAAAAAACAUAAAAUAAAUUAAAAUUGAGUCACGCAGGGAAUGUGAUUUUUCACGUAGGAAUAAAAAGGAUUACAGGCUUGUAGGCCUCGAGUCUUUCUGAUCUAAUCUCUGUGCUGAGGCCGAUUCAGAUAUAUGUUGAUCAGUGUUAUUCAGACAGUUUCAAUUUGUGGACCCGUAAACAUGAAUACGAGAAGUGCUGUAUAUGCUAAGAAUUGAUCUGCUUUUGCCAUUUGUCUUUCAGGGACGUUUUAGGAGUAGUUCACAGACUCUAAGGAGGCUGUGCGACAUGGCUUGAAAAGUGGUAUCAUCCAUAAAAAGUAUUUCUCUAAUUGAUUUAUAAAAACACUUAUUUGAAGGAAAUCUACAACACUGGUAUGCAGAUCGCAACAAUGUUUAACUGCACUUGUAAAAAUGUAUUUACCUUGUAUCCCACUUUAUUCUUUUACUGCAUUCCUUGCUGCCAUCUCAAAAUGGAAAAUGACGAUAUUUUUAUACUGUUCAGGAAUAAGGGUAGUUCAUCUCAACCAGUUCUCAUCCAGCGGCUGCACCAUUGAUCUAUUGAAACCUACUGAAAUGGCUGCACAUUCUUUUUUCUUCAAUAGUACUUAGAAAUUACAGCUAAGUGUUUUCUCAGGAUACCAAGAUACAGGUACGACAGCAAUAUGAAUUGUGUAUGUGUGACAGAUGGGUAGGCAGGCAAAUAAAGACAGGAAUGUUCUCAGAGCCUAAACAAGACCCUCAAAAGUUGAUGCCAUCAUUAUGCAUAUGACGGCAAUUUGAUUUCAGUGAACCUCUCCUCAGGCUGCAGUCUGGGCAAGGGAUCACUUGCUUGAGACUCUAACAGAACUGCAGGUUGUUCACUGGAUACCAGCAACUCCUGAAGAGCAUGUGGAAAGUGAAAUCUGAGCCAUGGUUUUCUACUGUUGGUGCAAGGGAAAUGGGUAGUCUGUUCAGUUACUGGUACCUUAGAUCCAAUUCGUGGAAUAAACUACUGUGAAUGUCCAUAUCAGGGACUUUUGACAUCAUAAUGUAAUUUUUCCUUUUGUCUCUUAGAACUGUGUGUUAUGCUCAUACAUAUAUAUACAUGUAUAUGCAAUGUAUAACAAUGUGUUCCAUGUCAGUCUCUGAUUGAAAGAAAACUAAGCAGAAACUUCAACUAGUGAAUUUUAUAAUGAUGUGUUAUACAGAACAUUCAGCAAAGAAUCUGACCUCCCUUUCUGCAUGGUGCAUCUUCCAUUGCAAUGGAUGGAGAUAUUUGGGUCAUUGGCAGAAACUGUCACCAGAAUAUAUGGAAGGCUGGUGGAGACAGAGCAUUAUCAGUACAGGUACAUACAUCUUGAGAACUGCCAGUAUUUUAUU